rnacentral:rRNA from 1 species
AGUGAACGCUGGCGGUAGGCCUAACACAUGCAAGUCGAACGAAAACACAGUAAGCGCUUGCCCUUACGGUUGGCGAGUGGCGGACGGGUGAGGCAUGCAUCGGCAUCUACUUUUUCGUGGGGGAUAACGUGGGGAAACUUACGCUAAUACCGCAUACGACCUACGGGUGAAAUCAGGAGAUCUUCGCACCUUUCGCGAUUCAUUUAGCCGAUGUCGGAUUAGCUAGUUGGCGGGGUAAAGGCCCACCAAGGCGACGAUCCGUAGCUGGUCUGAGAGGAUGAUCAGCCACACUGGAACUGAGACACGGUCCAGACUCCUACGGGAGGCAGCAGUGGGGAAUAUUGGACAAUGGGCGCAAGCCUGACCCAGCCACACUGCGUGGGUGAUGAAGGUCUUCGGAUUGUAAAGCCCUUUUGUUGGGAAAGAAAAGCAGCAGAUGAAUACCCCGCUGUUCUGACGGUACCCAAAGAAUAAGCACCGGCUAACUUCGUG